ensembl:lncRNA
GAGAGAGAGAAAGAAAGAAAGAAAGAAAGAAAGAAAGAAAGAAAGAAAGAAAGAGAGAGAGAGAGAAUUGAAUAAGCAUCCUUGAAAGAAUAGACAAGCGUGAAGCCUGAGUUGUUUAAAAACAAAGUAUAUUGAGUUUAAGGAUCAACAGUUAAAUUGGACAUAUACUUUUGCUUCAUAUUGACUUUGAAAAAUCAGUGUCUCCCUUGAUAUCGGGCCUACAUCAACGAAAACAUUUCUCUUCUGUUCAGAGGCAGAGCAACAGUAACAUACAGUACCAAGUAUUGAUAAAGUAGUGUAGCCUGAUACAGGAAAGUUUCUGAGCACAUCUGAAAAAACAAAACGUAAUAACACACCAGACAUAACACAGUAAAUACAUUGUGAUGAUGACCACUUGACAGGGGAGAAGACGUACAGUACACAUACAAAAGAGAGUUUGCAAUACAUGUGUACAUAAAUACAUUAUUUUGAGGAUUUCUUUUUUUUUGCUUGUUGUUUUUAUAAAAUAUUUUUCAAGAAACGUAAAACGACGGAAAAAAGUUGCACAAAACACACUUUUAAACGACUCUGUUAGCGACACAUGAAAAAUGAAUAUGUCAAAUGAAUCAACACACACACACACACACACACACACACACACACACACACACACACACACACACACACACACACACACACACACACAAAGCACACACAAAGCACACACAAAGCACAACAGAAAAAACAUAUUUCUCUUCCUAUGUCACAACUGCACUGCAAGUUUGGCUUUUUUUUUCAAUGGUUAAGACAAUGUGAUUCCUAUAGUCGAGUUUCUGAAUCAUUUGUGGGCCAUGAACUGGAUCUCACUUGGCUAUAGGACCGUGGCUCGUUUCAAAACCUCUACCACAACGCUGUCACCUGGUAUUCCGUUGAGAAAAUAUGUCUCUGUUACUUUACAUGGGAGAGAUAACCAUGAUUUAUAAAGCAGACAAACUUCCCAGCCAGUGAGAGUUAUAUAAAUAUGAGCGUGGGCUGAUGGUGGUGUAUGGGCAAAUGGAAAUUGACUUGGGUCCAGCGGAAUGGCAAUAAAGUAUGAAUAAAUGGAUUGUGGGGGAAGAGGGAGAGACUAGCUGAGAGAGCCGAUGGCAGCCAUUUUGUGUCUGGCCCGUGGCCCAUGGUGCCAUCUUACAAAUGACUGCAUUAACAGAGCCAAUUAAAGUGGCAAUCAUUUAAUGGCCACCUACGCAGCCGUGCGAGACUGGGACUUUCAUCACGUCAAUCGGCCGUAAGGCAGUAAUAUUCAGUUAGAGCAAUCUGGCCAGUGGACCGACUCAGCUCUGCUCUACUCUCAAUAAAACAUGCCACCACUCAGCACUGACUGGGUAUUAGGAACAACAGCUUUAGGAGGAGAGGAGUUAUUCUUUUGAAAAUAAAUACACUGAAUCGCUUUAAUUUAAUGGCAGCUAUCAAUAGUAGUUCUUUGUAGUUAAUUGUACAAAAAAGUUUGUAAUAAAAAAAAAGAGAAUAAAUGUUUUAUUUUCCACCAAUUUUUCUAAAUGUAUUUUGGUUUUUAUAAACUAAGGAACACAUGCUUUCCAGGACAGGUUUCACUCCCUUCACCUGAAAUGAAGGGGACAUGAAGAUGCAGACAGAGUGAUGGGGGACAUAAACUAAGGAACACAUGAAGGUGCAGACAGAGUGAUGGGGGACAUGAAGAAGCAGACAGAGUGAUGGGGGACAUGAAGAUGCAGACAGAGUGAUGGGGGACAUGAAGGUGCAGACAGAGUGAUGGGGGACAUGAAGGUGCAGACAGAGUGAUGGGGGACAUGAAGAUGCAGACAGAGUGAUGGGGGACAUGAAGAAGCAGACCGAGUGAUGGGGGACAUGAAGGUGCAGAUGGAAGGAUGGGGACAUGAAGGUGCAGAAAGACUGAUGGGUAGAAAGAAGAAAAGAAUUGCAUUUUAUCGACCAAUGUCCUUCCCCAUCUAUCCUCUGCAGUCAUACUACCCAGAAUGCUUUCGGCUCCAAGCGCUCUUUGAGUUUUAGGAGCAUCGUAAAGUGGAACAGAGCUAGAGUCGUUUAAAAUUGGGCUUGUCUACUUCAAAACAUAAAUAUAACAACAAAAAGCAACAAAAAUGCAAAACAACAUAAAAAUAAAACAAUUUCUCGGGGACCUGAUUCUCAUCCUCUAGGUUAUUUGGACACAUUGUAUACACACAUACAUAUUGUAGACCAACAAUACACUUCACAUGGUCAUCUGACCAAAGACACAUAGAAUCACAAGAUAAGCCAGUUGCGUCUAUACCGGCACCUUUUCCCUACACAGUGCACUACUUUAGACCAGGGCCCAUAGGGAAUAGGGUGCAUUACUUUAGACCAGGGACCAUAGGGAAUAGGGUGCUUUAGACCAGGGCCCAUAGGGAAUAGGGUGCACUACUUUAGACCAGGGCCCAUAGGGAAUAGGGUGCACUACUUUAGACCAGGACCCAUAGGGAAUAGGGUGCACUACUUUAGACCAGGGCCCAUAGGGAAUAGGGUGCAUUACUUUAGACCAGGGCCCAUAGGGAUUAGGGUGCUUUAGACCAGGGCCCAUAGGGAAUAGGGUGCACUACUUUAGACCAGGACCCAUAGGGAAUAGGGUGCACUACUUUAGACCAGGGCCCAUAGGGAAUAGGGUGCUUUACUUUAGACCAGGGCCCAUAGGGAAUAGGGUGCUUUAGACCAGGGCCCAUAGGGAAUAGGGUGCAUUACUUUAGACCAGGGCCCAUAGGGAAUAGGGUGCACUACUUUAGACCAGGGCCCAUAGGGAAUAGGGUGCUUUAGACCAGGACCCAUAGGGAAUAGGGUGCUUUAGACCAGGGCCCAUAGGGAAUAGGGUGCACUACUUUAGACCAGGGCCCAUAGGGAAUAGGGUGCACUACUUUAGACCAGGACCCAUAGGGAAUAGGGUGCACUACUUUAGACCAGGGCCCAUAGGGAAUAGGGUGCAUUACUUUAGACCAGGGCCCAUAGGGAUUAGGGUGCUUUAGACCAGGGCCCAUAGGGAAUAGGGUGCACUACUUUAGACCAGGACCCAUAGGGAAUAGGGUGCACUACUUUAGACCAGGGCCCAUAGGGAAUAGGGUGCAUUACUUUAGACCAGGGCCCAUAGGGAAUAGGGUGCUUUACUUUAGACCAGGGCCCAUAGGGAAUAGGGUGCUUUAGACCAGGGCCCAUAGGGAAUAGGGUGCAUUACUUUAGACCAGGCCCAUAGGGAAUAGGGUGCUUUAGACCAGGGCCCAUAGGGAAUAGGGUGCACUACUUUAGAACAGGACCCAUAGGGAAUAGGGUGCUUCAGUAUACCAACAAUGAAAUUAAAAUAUAUUUUAUAAAGUCCUAAAAUGUCACCACUGUUUAACCCACUGUUUGACCCACUGUUUGACCCACUGUUUGACCCACUGUUUGACCCACUGUUUGACCCACUGUUUGACCCACUGUUUGACCCAUAUAGAUCGUGAUACAUGUUUGUGAAAGGAAUAACAUUUUGUUUCAUUUUUAAAAAACUUUUUCUAGAUUUUCUCAAUCUAAUAAUAAUAGAUAAUAUCACUAUAAUCCAUUUGAUACACCAAUAAACACUAUGCUGUGACACUUCUAUAAUAACACACAAGUACUGUAUGUAAAUGAUUCUAGGAAAAUAAUAACAUCUUGUAGAAAUACAAAAACAAGGAAAACAAGAGUAAUUUCAGGAAGAAUUCAGUAAAGUGCAAAUAGGAAGAUAUAUAAGGAAUGAAAUAUAUAGUAAUAUUAAGAUUAUUCAUAAUAAAAGUCAACAUAUGCAACAUG